GUCCUCUUAGCUCAGUAGGUAGAGCAUUUGACUUUUAAUCAAAGGGUCACAGGUUCAAAUCCUGUAGGGGACA
rnacentral:tRNA from 1 species